rnacentral:snRNA from 1 species
GGCUGUGAAGGAGAUCUGGCUGUGACCUCCAUCACCCCAUUGAUACUCAAGGCUGAUUUGGUCAAUCUGGCGUCCCCUUCCUCUCUCACUGCUGCAUAUGCAUCGCUCCUGAAGCCACAAGCUGUCGAAGAGGAUGGUCACCUCUGAUAGAGGAGGACUGUCUCUUCAGUCAAGAGUAUCUGAGUUGCUGGGCUCCUCUGCUACACCCUUAAGUAGCUCUCAAGUUCCCAAAGAUCGAAUAUGGUUGGUGACUAAACUUACCAAACAGUGCUAGUUAUAAAUCAUUUUCAUCCUGGAGAAAUU